GCGGGUUUAGCUCAGUUGGGAGAGCGUCAGACUGAAGCCAAACUUCAAUCAUCUACUGAUAUCUGAAGGUCAUGUGUUCGAUCCACAUAAACCGCA
rnacentral:tRNA from 1 species